AACGCGAAGAACCUUACCUGGGCUCGAACGGCUUCAGAUCAUCUGUGGAAACACGGACUUCCCGCAAGGGACUGGAGUCGAGGUGCUGCAUGGCUGUCGUCAGCUCGUGUCGUGAGAUGUUGGGUUAAGUCCCGCAACGAGCGCAACCCUUGUCCUGUGUUGCCACUCCCGUAAGGGAAGCACUCUCAGGAGACCGCCAGCGAUAAGCUGGAGGAAGGUGGGGAUGAUGUCAAGUCAUCAUGGCCUUUAUGUCCAGGGCUACACACGUGCUACAAUGGACGGUACAAAGCGCUGCUAACCCGCGAGGGGGAGCCAAUCGCAAAAAACCGUUCUCAGUUCGGAUCGCAGGCUGCAACCCGCCUGCGUGAAGCUGGAAUCGCUAGUAAUGGCGUAUCAGAACGACGCCGUGAAUACGUUCCCGGGUCUUGUACACACGC
rnacentral:rRNA from 1 species